rnacentral:rRNA from 1 species
GACGAACCGUGCGAACGUUGUUCGGAAUUACUGGGCUUAAAGCGCGUGUAGGCGGGCCGGCACGUCGGCUGCUGAAAUCCCCCGGCUCAACCGGGGAAGGGGCACCGAUACGACCGGCCUGGAGGGGGGUAGGGGGGACGGGAACUUCCGGUGGAGCGGUGAAAUGCGUUGAGAUCGGAAGGAACGCCCGCGGCGAAAGCGCGUCCCUGGACCCCGCCUGACGCUGAGACGCGAAAGCCAGGGGAGCGAACGGG